GCUUCCUAAAAAUGCUCUAACGGCUCUUUUUCUGCCUAAUAUAUUUUCUCUUGUUUCUUAAGGUUAUAAAAGGUUUCAAAUGGUGAAAGAAAUAGUAGAGAUCAAACAUAUAUACAAGAGGAUCCAAAAUCUACACGAGAAAGCCUGAGAUCAAUGAAAUACCCAAAAGAAAAAGAGAGAGGAUCCACAAUAUACACGAGAGAUUGUGAAAAAGAAAAGCAAGAGCAUUCAAAGAGAGGAUUUUUCAAGCCUAUUGUUCAACCUUGAUCAAGAGAUCUUUCAAAGCCUUCAAGAAGUCCUCAAUCAAAGAUCAUCUUCUUCUCAAGCAUUCAUUCAAGCAUUCAUCCACCUUGAGAAAAUCGAAAAAGGGGAUUC
rnacentral:lncRNA from 1 species